CGAAGUCUACGUGAAAGUUAUCCAUUUGUUUCCAUUGAUAUUACAAGUUCAAUUCUAUUUGUUUUGUUGCAAACUCUAAUUGGAGUAUCCAAUUUCCUCUUUUCAUAAUAGGUAUUUCAUGGACGUAGUUAGGUAAAAUUUCAUGUGAUUCAGUAAAGUAAAAAGAACAGAAAUUCCAUUAUUGAUAAAUCUAUUCAUGUGAUUCGAUGAAGAAUGACAGCAAAUAAUGGGAUAUUUUCGAAAAAAAAAGGGGG
rnacentral:lncRNA from 1 species